rnacentral:rRNA from 1 species
UUUAAUAGACGAACAGUCUACCUUACUAAGCACCUGCACCUAGCAGGAAUUUUGAUCCAACAUCGAGGUCACAAACUUAUUUAUCAAUAAGAACUCUCCAAAUAAAUUAUGCUGUUAUCCCUACGGUAAUUUAUUCUAUUAAUCAUUAUUAAUGGAUCAAAAAAUAAAUAAAACCAAAUUAUAAUGUUAUCUUAAAAUAAUCGCCCCAACCAAAUAUUAAUCAUUAUUAAAGCAUCCAAGAAAAUAAAAACUUAAAUAUAAAACUCAAUAGGGUCUUCUCGUCUUUUUGAAUCAAAUCAGCAUUUUUACUGAUUAUUUAAUUUCAACAAUACAUAUAAGAAAGAAUCUCCCACGUCCAGCCCUUCAUACAAGACUACAAUUAAUAGCCUAAUUAUUAUGCUACCUUCGCACGGUCAAUAUACCGCGGCCAUUUAUAUAAACAUAGAGCAGGCCAGAUUUUAAAUAAAUAUUCAUAAAACC